GUUGACCUCGGAUCAGGUAGGGAUACCCGGAGGCCGGCGGAUCGGCGUCCAUCAAGCCCACUUCUACAGUUGACCUCGGAUCAGGUAGGGAUACCCG
rnacentral:rRNA from 1 species